rnacentral:tRNA from 1 species
GGUGUUGUGGCUUAGUGGUAGAGCGCUUGCCUGGAAUGUGUGUCGCACUGGGUUCGAUCCUCAGCACCA